CUCAGUAACACGUGGAUAACCUUCCCUUAGGACCGGAAUAACCCCGGGAAACUGGGGAUAAUACCGGAUAAGCCAUAGACGCUGGAAUGCCCUAUGGUUCAAAGCUCCGGCGCCUAAGGAUGGAUCUGCGGUCUAUCAGGUUGUAGUGGGUGUAACGUACCUACUAGCCGACGACGGAUACGGGUUGUGAGAGCAAGAGCCCGGAGAUGGAUUCUGAGACACGAAUCCAGGCCCUACGGGGUGCAGCAGGCGCGAACACUUUACAAUGCGGGAAACCGCGAUAAGGGAACCCCGAGUGCCAGCAUCAAAUGUUGGCUGUCCAGAUGAUUAAAAAUCAUUUGUUAGCAAGGGCCGGGCAAGACCGGUGCCAGCCGCCGCGGUAACACCGGCGGCCCGAGUGGUAGCCGUUUUUAUUGGGUCUAAAGGGUCCGUAGCCGGCCUGAUAAGUCCUUUGGGAAAUCUGGCAGCUUAACUGUCAGGCUUCUAAGGGAUACUGUCAGGCUUGGGACCGGAAGAGGUAAGGGGUACUCCAGGGGUAGGAGUGAAAUCUUGUAAUCCCUGGGGGACCACCUGUGGCGAAGGCGCCUUACCAGAACGGGUCCGACGGUGAGGGACGAAAGCUAGGGGAGCAAACCGGAUUAGAUACCCGGGUAGUCCUAGCUGUAAACGAUGCUCGCUAGGUGUCAGACACGGUGCGACCGUGUUUGGUGCCGCAGGGAAGCCGUUAAGCGAGCCACCUGGGAAGUACGGUCGCAAGGCUGAAACUAAAG
rnacentral:rRNA from 1 species